rnacentral:rRNA from 1 species
GAUGAACGCUAGCGGCGGGCAUAAUACAUGCAAGUCGAACGGGAUAAGUUGUAGCAAUACGACUUUGAGAGUGGCGCACGGGUGCGUAACACGUAUGCAACUUGCCCUUAACAGGGGGAUAGCUUUCGGAAACGAAAAUUAAUACCCCAUAUUAUUACUUAUAUGCAUGUAUGAGUAAUGAAAGCUCCGGCGGUUAAGGAUGGGCAUGCGGCUGAUUAGCUAGUUGGCGAGGUAAAGGCUCACCAAGGCGACGAUCAGUAGGGGGUCUGAGAGGAUGUCCCCCCACACUGGUACGGAGACACGGACCAGACUUCUACGGGAGGCAGCAGUAGGGGAUAUUGGUCAAUGGAGGCAACUCUGAACCAGCCACGCCGCGUGCAGGAUGAAGGCCCUCUGGGUUGUAAACUGCUUUUGUUAGGGAAAAAACCCCUCGAUGCGUUGAGGGUUGAUGGUACCUAAAGAAUAAGGAUCGCCUAACUCCGUGCCAGCCGCCGCAGUAAUAC